AUGGCAUCCAUCGUUUCCAGGAUUGUGAAACAUCUUCGGCACGCCAAUCGUUCUUUGGUGAGGUGUGGGCUGUCAGUGUUUUCGCCUCCGCUCAUUGAGGGUCUUCAGCAUCAGCAGCAGCAUCUCCCGCUCCUUCAACAGGUUUGUUUCUCCUUCAAUCAUGCCCUUGUAGUGUUACUUUUGCCUGGGAGCAAGUCCGGGGAAUCACAUGAAAGCAGCGAUGCUGGAAAAUCUGUUCGUGGAGGGCCUGUUUCGUGGUUGAGCUUUUUGUUGCUCGUAGCAACUGGGGCAGGAGUCAUCCUCUACUAUGACAAGGAAAAGAGACAGCAUCUUCAAGGCAUAUUUAACGCAUCCAAGGAGGUGAAGCAAGGACCAUCUGCGGGAACAGCUGCCAUUGGAGGUCCAUUCAAACUUACCAACUGAAAAAGACUUUUUGGGGAAAUGGAAAUUGAUACACUUUGGUUUCACUCAGUGCCCUGAUAUCUGCCCAGAUGAGUUACAGAAACUAUCUGCUGCAAUUGAUAAAAUAAAGGCCAAUGCAGGGAUUGAGAUAGUCCCCGUAUUCAUCUCUGGGGAUUGGGAUUGAGAUACUAUAUGAAGACAACUGAAGAAGAUUCAGAUUAUCUUGUUGAUCAUUCCAAAGUCAUGUACUUGAUGAGCCCUAGUAUGGACUUUGUUAAAUUUUUUGAGAAGAACAAUGAUGUUGAUUCUCUUGCUGAUGGCAUAACCAAAGAGAUACAGCAGCCCAAGAAAUAGAGGCAGAGGCAUACUUUCUGUUCCUUCUCAACUAAUGACAUUUGCACACUUUAUAAUUUAUCUUUUGAGUAAAGUGGUCAUUUCUUUUUUCCUUUUUCUUGAUAUUUCUGAUUCUGGUUAUAUUUUAGAACAGUAGAAGGAUUAGUAGCCGGGACAGUGACUAUGAAAUGAAAGGAUCAACAUGAAGAUUUUAUGUUGAGACUUAUGAGUUGUUCCAAGAACAGGAUUUUGGCUUCGGCAAGGUUAGCCGGUUAAAGCUUAUUGGCAUUGAUAUCUUUCAUUGUCUGGACAUCUAAGUCAGUGAAACUUCAUUAGUUUUUGUAUUUCUGCUAUGCAUAAACACUUCAAAAAAAAAAAUACAUGCAUAAAUUUUUUA